CUUAAGGGGCCGUAGCUUGAUAAUAGGGUCCCUUGAGAAAUCCGCCGGCUUAACUGGCGGGCGUUCAGGGGAAACUUGUUUUCUAGGGACCGGGAGAGGUGAGGGGUACUGCCGGGGUAGGAGUGAGAUCCUGUAAUCCCGGUGGGACCACCUAUGGCGAAGGCAUCUCACCAGAACGGGUCCGACAGUGAGGGACGAAAGCUGGGGGAGCAAACCGGAUUAGAUACCCGGGUAGUCCCAGCUGUAAACUAUGUGCGUUAGGUGUGUCAGUGACCACGUGUCACUGAGGUGCCGAAGGGAAACCGUGAAACGCACCGCCUGGGGAGUACGGUCGCAAGGCUGAAACUUAAAGGAAUUGGCGGGGGAGCACCACAACGGGUGGAGCCUGCGGUUUAAUCGGACUCAACGCCGGGAAUCUCACCGGAUAAGACAGCUGAAUGAUAGUCGGGAUGAAGACUCUACUUGACUAGCUGAGAGGAGGUGCAUGGCCGUCGUCAGUUCGUACUGUGAAGCAUCCUGUUUAGUCAGGCAACGAGCGAGACCCACGCGAGCAGUUGCCAGCUUGACCUUCGGGUUGAUGGGGACACUGCUCGGACCGCCUCUGCUAAAGGGGAGGAAGGACUGGGCAACGGUAGGUCAGCAUGCCCCGAAUUAUCCGGGCUACACGCGGGCUACAAUGGACAGGACAAUGAGUUUCGACACCGAGAGGUGAGGAUAAUCUUCUAACCCUGUACCAAGUUCGGAUUGCGGGUUGUAACUCACCCGCAUGAAGCUGGAAUCCGUAGUAAUCGCGUUUCAACAUACCGCGGUGAAUAUGUCCCUGCUCCUUGCACUCACCGCCCGUAA
rnacentral:rRNA from 1 species